UGGGGAAUUUUGGGCAAUGGCCGAAAGGCUGACCCAGCGACGCCGCGUGUGGGAUGACGCCUCUCGGGGUGUAAACCACUGUCAGAGGGGAAGAAUAGCCCGGGUGUGAAUAAUUCCCGGGUGUGACGGUACCCUCAAAGGAAGCACCGGCUAACUCCGUGCCAGCAGCCGCGGUAAUACGGAGGGUGCAAGCGUUGUUCGGAUUUACUGGGCGUAAAGCGCGCGCAGGUGGGGGUGUGCAAGUCGGAAGUGAAAUCCCAGGGCUCAACCCUGGGGCUGCUCCCGAAACUGCAUAUCUAGGGACUGGUAGAGGCUGGUAGAAUUCCCGGUGUAGCGGUGGAAUGCGUAGAGAUCGGGAAGAAUACCUGUGGCGAAGGCGGCCAGCUGGGCCAGAUCCGACACUGAGGCGCGAAAGCGUGGGGAGCAAACAGGAUUAGAUACCCUGGUAGUCCACGCCGUAAACGAUGGGCACUAGGCGCGGGUGGGAGCGACCCCUUCCGUGCCGCAGCUAACGCGAUAAGUG
rnacentral:rRNA from 1 species